rnacentral:rRNA from 1 species
UGGCUCAGAACGAACGCUGGCGGCAUGCUUUACACAUGCAAGUCGAACGGUAACAGGCCUUCGGGCGCUGACGAGUGGCGAACGGGUGAGUAAUGCAUCGGAACGUGCCCAGUCGUGGGGGAUAACGCAGCGAAAGCUGUGCUAAUACCGCAUACGAUCUGCGGAUGAAAGCGGGGGACCUUCGGGCCUCGCGCGAUUGGAGCGGCCGAUGUCAGAUUAGGUAGUUGGUGGGGUAAAGGCCUGCGCAAACCGACGAUCUGUAGCUGGUCUGAGAGGACGACCAGCCACAUUGCGACUGAGACAGAACCCAGACUC